GCCCACUUAGGCCAAUUGGUUAGAGUCAAGGCACUUAAAAUGCCUAAAGUGUCGGUUCGAGCCCGACAGUGGGUACCA
rnacentral:tRNA from 1 species